AGUGAACGCUGGCGGUAGGCCUAACACAUGCAAGUCGAACGGCAGCACAGUAGGAGCUUGCUCUUACGGGUGGCGAGUGGCGGACGGGUGAGGAAUACAUCGGAAUCUACUUUUUCGUGGGGGAUAACGUAGGGAAACUUACGCUAAUACCGCAUACGACCUACGGGUGAAAGCAGGGGAUCUUCGGACCUUGCGCGGUUGAAUGAGCCGAUGUCGGAUUAGCUAGUUGGCGGGGUAAAUGCCCACCAAGGCGACGAUCCGUAGCUGGUCUGAGAGGAUGAUCAGCCACACUGGAACUGAGACACGGUCCAGACUCCUACGGGAGGCAGCAGUGGGGAAUAUUGGACAAUGGGCGCAAGCCUGAUCCAGCCAUACCGCGUGGGUGAAGAGGGCCUUCGGGUUGUAAAGCCCUUUUGUUGGGAAAGAAAAGCAGCAGGUUAAUACCCCGCUGUUCUGACGGUACCCAAAGAAUAAGCACCGGCUAACUUCGUG
rnacentral:rRNA from 1 species